GACAACCAGUGUUGCUGUCCAUCAAAUUGGCUAUUGGAAAAGGUAAUUUCCUAUCCUACUUGAGGCAAAAUUCACUGUGCACGGCGGGGAGUUUGGUCUCCACGAGGCACGGAGAUCCAGCUUCGCGCUGAGCAGAGAUCUUGGAUUUGGGGUCUCCGCUUUGCACGGAGACACCAAGCGCUUGCGCUGCUACUUCUCCCAUGGCGAUUCUUCCUCUUUUUUAUGUUGUUUUGUCUUCAUCAUUUGCACUUGUUUUCAUGACUUCAUUUAACCUACCAACACAACGUUAAAAUCACAUAAUAUAUCGUUAAUAAUUGAUAAAAAUUAGCUAAAUAUGAAGCUGAAAUGAUAUUCAUGUAGACAUGUAGUGAGUGAAAUAUCAUUCAUUAUGGUCUCCACGCUGUGGGGAAACUUUUCGUCUAGUUUGUGUUCUUGAAUUCAUUGAUGAAGAAUAAGUUAGAUUUGUAUAUAAAUAAAUUUUAUUACUAAUGAAUGGUUUUCUAAAUAAUUUUUGCAGAUGUCAUUAGAAUACAUAUUGUAUCCAAACCAAUGAUUUUCUGCUACUAUUACUCAAUUUGUAAAUUAUCAAUAUCUUAAAGAUUUUGUGAAACUUGUAGAUGUA
rnacentral:lncRNA from 1 species